UGGUGCUUUUUAUGUUGUGUUGUGAGAUGGUUUGACCAGCUACAUUUAAAAGAGUAUGUCCUCUCACACUGAUUCACUCUAAGGUGAGCAAUGUGCCACAUUGUAAUGUACAUCAUGUUGAUAGGGUGGUGACAACUUGUCGACAUACAAAAAUAAAGAUAUUAUAUACAAAAGUUCUAAUCAACUUUUUCUUUGAAGUCCAAAGAUAUUGCAGUAUCUCCCCAUACCAGUGAAAAAACAUCUCAAAAUGAAUUCCUCCAUUCCAACAUGAACAAAAACAGCUGUUAUAAAGACACUCAAAUCCUACACACAUCUUUUUCAGUUUCAUAUAGAGAACAACUUUUAUUAACACACAAUGAUCAUUUUUGGAGAGAGAAAACAUUUUCUUACUCAAAGGUUAAAUGGCAUAUGACAAACAUCCUUCCAUUAUUUGGUCAGGACAAUGAAACGUCUUUACAAAUACAUCUGAGCUGGAAUUUCCUUGGCAUAAAGGCAGUCUUCUGCUGUUACAUAAUGUAAUAACAUGUAAUUACAGCAUUUCAUCUGAUAGAUGAUACAUGUGGCCCUUUGCAAGCUAAAGCUAAGGAUGGGGUCUGUACAUGGACAACAGCUUAUUGUGUUGCUCUGCAGAAUAUGUAGUUCAUGUGUUUGGCUAUACAAGACUGUAUUUGGUAUACUGAGUCAUAGCAUGAUAGAGCAGGAGGACCAGACCUCCAUAACCGUUGGUCAUUGCAUGAUAGAGCAGGAGGACCAGACCUCCAUAACCGUUGGUCAUAGCAUGAUAGAGCAGGAGGACCAGACCUCCAUAACCGUUGGUCAUAGCAUGAUAGAGCAGGAGGACCAGACCUCCAUAACCGUUGGUCAUAGCAUGAUAGAGCAGGAGGACCAGACCUCCAUAACCGUUGGUCAUAGCAUGAUAGAGCAGGAGGACCAGCCCUCCAUAACCGUUGGUCAUAGCAUGAUAGAGCAGGAGGACCAGCCCUCCAUAACUGUUACUCAUAGCAUGAUACAGCAGGAGGACUGGUCAUUUCUCUUCCUUACAUUUCUCUAGUCACAGCGUGGAUAAGCAGCAUUAUGGGAAAUUAGAAUUGAGUGGCAGUUCAUUUUAUGAAGCCACUAAUAAGCAAAUUAGAGAAACCAGUUUAAGUUUUUGCCCCCUCAUCUCUCUUAACUGUGGAAUUCAUAGCAUGGAUUGAUUGCUGGAAAUGUCAAUUUCCUGCAUCUCGUCUUGGGUUGAUUGUCGGCAGAGGUUUGCCAGAUGUCCAGACUGGAGGCAACAUGGAGUAGGAGAGUUGGAAAAGACACUACGUUUUGACGGAGUACAGCAAGGGUCUAAAAAACAACCCAGUAAUUUGUCACUCUGGUGAGGCAGUGUCAGAACAUCUGGACAACCUACAUAUUAUCCUGUCAUGGGAAAGAAGAGGAAAAAAAGCAAAUGAGCUCAGAUAUUUAUUGCACAUCAUAUUACUUUUAUAAGCAGUACAUCUUCA
ensembl:lncRNA